AUUACUUUUGCAAUAGGGGAAAUCAAUUAAAAGUUAAAAAUACGAAGUUUCUAAAAAGUAUUUUUUAUUUUUAUUUUAGAAGAACAACAAACAAGCAAAAACGGUUUUAGUUUUAAAGCACGUUUUUAUAUUGUUCCUCCAAUUUGGUACUUGCCGUAAUAUGAUCCGUGAAAAUGGUAACCAAGGAUUAGUGGAAAAACAUUAAGAAAUUAAGUUAAUGUCACUGUACGAUUCAAGACAAAUACCCGAUUGAAUCCAGAUUGAAAAGUUCCAGUCUUAUCAUAUAUACUUUGCAGGUAAAAAAAAUGAAGUUGUUAAAAAGGUUGUUUAAAAUCUUAGCAAUCUAAUGAGUUACAAGACUGCGCAAAGAACCUGAUGAUUGCACGAUUUCGUGUGAAUGAGUAGAACGACUCAAAUACUUUAAGUAAGUAAUAAUUUAUGAUAUAAUAUGUGAUAAUUAUCAAUUCGACAACCAUCAAUAGUUUAUUAUUGUCACGCUAAUUACACUAUUCUUGAUGAAAAUAGAAUCAACUCUUUAUAUAUUGCCUCGGUUUCCAACAGAGAUCAAAUGUGAUGUAAUUCAUUAAAUUGUUGUGGCUGGUCGUUUUUGCUGAAACUUUCAAACUGUUUAUUUUUGUAAAGAUCUUAAAAAGAAAAAAAAGCUGCUAAGCUUCAAAGAAAAUAAAUGGAAUUGGGAAUGGAGUAUGCACUGGAAUUGGUACUGUGUACACACUUUCGAAGUUUUUGGCAUGAUUCAGUCUCCGGCACUGGAAAUAAACGCUUUGCCACAAGUUUGUUGGAAAUUUGGUUUCAUGUUAUGCUCAAUCUUUAAUAUUAAAGGUGUUUACAGCCUAAGAAAUCGAUAAUACUAAUGUUGUUUUUACAAGAAAACUCCUUAUUGUUAAAUCUCUAUAAUAAUAGCCGUCGAGUGUUUGCCACACAAGCUGAUUUCGCGCUAAAGAUUCACGAAAUAACGAUGCACAGAUGAUGCACGUUUGCUACUGUUUCUAACACAUCAUACUACAACAUAAAUUAACGUUAUUUGCAGAAAGUAAAUAGAUAAAUCAAAAAUUAUAUAUAAAUAAACUUAGAACUUGUAUUUUUUUAGUUUUGUCAAAUUAUUAGUUCAAUGGUUUUAAUAAAGUAAAUUGUUGACAAA